rnacentral:rRNA from 1 species
AUUGGACGCUGGCGGCAUGCUUUACACAUGCAAGUCGAACGGCAGCGCGGGCUUCGGCCUGGCGGCGAGUGGCGAACGGGUGAGUAAUGCAUCGGAACGUGCCCAGUAGUGGGGGAUAGCCCGGCGAAAGCCGGAUUAAUACCGCAUACGACCUGAGGGUGAAAGCGGGGGACCGAAAGGCCUCGCGCUAUUGGAGCGGCCGAUGUCGGAUUAGCUAGUUGGUGGGGUAAAGGCUUACCAAGGCGACGAUCCGUAGCUGGUCUGAGAGGACGACCAGCCACACUGGGACUGAGACACGGCCCAGACUCCUACGGGAGGCAGCAGUGGGGAAUUUUGGACAAUGGGGGCAACCCUGAUCCAGCCAUGCCGCGUGCGGGAAGAAGGCCUUCGGGUUGUAAACCGCUUUUGUUCGGGAAGAAAUCCUCUGGGCUAAUACCCCGGGGGGAUGACGGUACCGGAAGAAUAAGCACCGGCUAACUAAGUG